rnacentral:rRNA from 1 species
AUUGAACGCUGGCGGCAUGCCUAACACAUGCAAGUCGAACGGUAACAGGCCCUUCGGGGCGCUGACGAGCGGCGGACGGGUGAGUAAUGCUUAGGAAUCUGCCUAGUAGUGGGGGAUAACCCGGGGAAACUCGGGCUAAUACCGCAUACGUCCUACGGGAGAAAGCGGGGGACCUUUGGGCCUCGCGCUAUUAGAUGAGCCUAAGUCCGAUUAGCUAGUUGGUGGGGUAACGGCCUACCAAGGCGACGANCGGUAGCUGGUCUGAGAGGACGACCAGCCACACUGGGACUGAGACACGGCCCAGACUCCUACGGGAGGCAGCAGUGGGGAAUCUUGCGCAAUGGGCGAAAGCCUGACGCAGCGACGCCGCGUG